AUGCACGCUGGCGGCGUGCCUAAUACAUGCAAGUCGAGCGAACAGACGAGGAGCUUGCUCCUCUGACGUUAGCGGCGGACGGGUGAGUAACACGUGGAUAACCUACCUAUAAGACUGGGAUAACUUCGGGAAACCGGAGCUAAUACCGGAUAAUAUAUUGAACCGCAUGGUUCAAUAGUGAAAGACGGUUUUGCUGUCACUUAUAGAUGGAUCCGCGCCGCAUUAGCUAGUUGGUAAGGUAACGGCUUACCAAGGCAAAGAUGCGUAGCCGACCUGAGAGGGGGAUGGGCCGCACGGAAUGUGAGAAGCGAACCGACAUCCUAGGGGAGGCAGGAGUGGGGAAUCUACCGCAAGGGGCAAAAGACUAGGGGAGAAACGCCGGGGGAGUGUAAAAGGUCUUCGGUGCGUAAAACUUUGUAUUUGGGGAAGAACAAAUGUGAAAGGAAUGUGACCGGUAUUAAGGGUACCUAAUCGAAAGGCACCGGCUAACCCCUG
rnacentral:rRNA from 1 species